UACGUAGGGUGCAAGCGUUGUCCGGAAUUAUUGGGCGUAAAGAGCUCGUAGGCGGUUUGUCGCGUCUGCUGUGAAAACUCGGGGCUUAACUCCGGGCCUGCAGUGGGUACGGGCAGACUAGAGUGCGGUAGGGGAGACUGGAAUUCCUGGUGUAGCGGUGAAAUGCGCAGAUAUCAGGAGGAACACCGGUGGCGAAGGCGGCUCUCUGGACCUCUGCUGACGCUGAGGCGCGAAAGCGUGGGGAGCGAACAGG
rnacentral:rRNA from 1 species